UCAUCCAUCGAACCGGUACUCGGAAGGCAUUUCCCAGCCACCCCGCAUGUUUAAUCAUCUAAGGCAGAAACUUUCCGUUGAUAAUCAAAAUUUAGUAGUUAGCUUACCUUCUUUGGUGCAACACCUGCGGUUAAAAUCCGAGCAAUGAAUAUCACCCGAUUGUUGCUGUUUGCAGUGUUUUUACUGUUGGUGGCAUCUGCAUCAGUUGAAGCAUUCCCCAGAAGAUUCCGAAUUACGAGACAAACUGUGAGAUUCGGGCGGAUGUUUGGCAGGACUUUCAAUCGGGCGUUGAAGACGCUAUUCGGACGGUGAUCACUACUCGAACGCAUCAUACUUUAUCAUCUGCUCAUCAUUUCAAUUAAGAGUUUUGAUUAAAAUGAAUUUAUUUGAUAAAUGUGAUAUCUCAAUAAUAAAAACCUAAUAUUAAAAUUAAAACUUCAGCUUA